AGCGGAGGAAAAGAAACUAACAAGGAUUCCCCUAGUAACGGCGAGUGAAGCGGGAAGAGCUCAAAUUUGUAAUCUGGCACUUUCAGUGUCCGAGUUGUAAUCUCGAGAAGUGUUUUCCGCGCCGGACCGCAUACAAGUCUGUUGGAAUACAGCGUCAUAGUGGUGAGAACCCCGUAACUGAUGCGGAUGCCCGGUGCUUUGUGAUACACUUUCGAAGAGUCGAGUUGUUUGGGAAUGCAGCUCAAAUUGGGUGGUAAAUUCCAUCUAAAGCUAAAUAUUGGCGAGAGACCGAUAGCGAACAAGUACCGUGAGGGAAAGAUGAAAAGCACUUUGGAAAGAGAGUUAACAGUACGUGAAAUUGUUGGAAGGGAAACGCUUGAAGUCAGACUUGCUAUUUGGAAUUCAGCCGCAAGGUGUACUUUUCAAUUCGCAGGCCAGCAUCAGUUUUCGGGGGUGGAAAAGGGUAGAGAGAAGGUAGCAAUUUCGGUUGUGUUAUAGCUCUUUGCUGGAUUCAUCCUUGGGGACUGAGGAACGCAGCACGCUUUUUGCAAG
rnacentral:rRNA from 1 species